rnacentral:rRNA from 1 species
GACGAACGCUGGCGGCGUGCUUAACACAUGCAAGUCGAACGGAAAGGCCCUGCUUGCAGGGUACUCGAGUGGCGAACGGGUGAGUAACACGUGGGUGAUCUGCCCUGCACUUCGGGAUAAGCCUGGGAAACUGGGUCUAAUACCGGAUAGGAGCCAUUUUUAGUGUGAUGGUUGGAAAGUUUUUUCGGUGUAGGAUGAGCUCGCGGCCUAUCAGCUUGUUGGUGAGGUAUGGCCUACCAAGGCGGCGACGGGUAGCCGGCCUGAGAGGGUGGACGGCCACAUUGGGACUGAGAUACGGCCCAGACUCCUACGGGAGGCAGAAGUGGGGAAUAUUGCACAAUGGGCGCAAGCCUGAUGCAGCGACGCCGCGUGGGGGAUAACGGCCUUCGGGUUGUAAACUCCUUUCGCUAGGGACGAAGCUUUUUGUGACGGUACCUAGAUAAGAAGCACCGGCUAACUACGU